rnacentral:rRNA from 1 species
CUACGGGGGGCACCAGGCGAGAAAACUUUGCAAUGUGCGAAAGCACGACAAGGUUAAUCCGAGUGGUUUCUGCUAAAGGAACCUUUUGACAGUCCUAGAAACACUGUUGAAUAAGGGGUGGGCAAGUUCUGGUGUCAGCCGCCGCGGUAAAACCAGCACCUCAAGUGGUCAGGAUGAUUAUUGGGCCUAAAGCAUCCGUAGCAGGCUCUAUAAGUUUUCGGUUAAAUCUGUACGCUCAACGUACAGGCUGCCGGGAAUACUGCAGAGCUAGGGAGUGGGAGAGGUAGACGGUACUCGGUAGGAAGGGGUAAGAUCCUUUGAUCUAUUGAUGACCACCUGUGGCGAAGGCGGUCUACCAGAACACGUCCGACGGUGAGGGAUGAAAGCUGGGGGAGCAAACCGGAUUAGAUACCCUAGUAGUC